CCUACGGGAGGCAGCAGUGAGGAAUAUUGGUCAAUGGCCGGAAGGCUGAACCAGCCAUGCCGCGUGAAGGUCAGUGCCCUAUGGGCGUUAAACUUCUUUUGUGCGGGAGCAAUACUGGUCACGUGUGGCCAGACGAGAGUACCGUACGAAUAAGCAUCGGCUAACUCCGUGCCAGCAGCCGCGGUAAUACGGGGGAUGCAAGCGUUAUCCGGAUUUAUUGGGUUUAAAGGGUGCGUAGGCUGUGAGGUAAGUCAGCGGGGAAAUGCCCCCGCUCAACGGGGUGAAGUGCCAUUGAUACUGCCUUGCUGGAAUGCGGAUGCCGUGGGAGGAAUGUGUGGUGGAGCGGUGAAAUGCAUAGAUAUCACACAGAACACCGAUUGCGAAGGCAUCUCACGAAGCCGCGAUUGACGCUGAUGCACGAAAGCGUGGGUAUCAAACAGGAUUAGAUACCCGGGUAGUC
rnacentral:rRNA from 1 species